GACGAACGCUGGCGGCGUGCUUAACACAUGCAAGUCGAACGGAAAGGCGCUGCUUUUGUGGGGUGCUCGUGUGGCGAACGGGUGAGUAACACGUGAGUAUCCUGCCCUUGACAUUGUGAUAUCUUCAGGAAACUGCGGCUCAUACCGGGUAGGAGAUCCUGCAGCAUGGUGGGGGUUGGAAAGUUUCGGCGGUGCGGGAUGGACUCGCGGCUUAUGAGCUGGUUUGGGGGGUUGGGGCAUACCAAGGCUAUGAGGGGUAGGCGGCCUGUGAGGGUGACCGGCCACAUUGGUACUGAGAUACGCCGCAGACGCGUAUGGGAGGCAGCAGUGGGGAGUAUUACACAGUGGGCGGAAGCCAGAUGCGGCGACGCCGCGUGCGGGAAAACGGGCUUCGGGUUGUAAACCGAUUUGGCAUGAGACGAGGAGAGAGUGACGGUACUGGGUAAAGAAGCAACGGCUAACUACGUG
rnacentral:rRNA from 1 species